UUUUUUUUUUUUUUUUGGGUUUUGGCGUUUAAAGAUUUGUAUUCAACGAAUGCAGUAAUUCUCUAGGAUUUAUAGAGAAACACUGCAAGAAUUGAUGGAGAAAUGGGAGAUUGGAAGAGCUUAUAUAGUUGUUUGGCCAUGAAAGAAUGGAUGACAGUAGGCGAAAAUAGAGGUGGAGCGUUCACCGGGGAGUGAGGAUUGCCACGAG
rnacentral:misc_RNA from 1 species